CCCCAUCCACAAUUGAUGAUACUGAAGAGCUGACCACUGAGAGCAAGUGCAUCCAUACAGCCGUCAGCCACCCAAAUCAGACCAGUCCAGAGCUCGGCCCUCUCAUCAAGGCCCUUGAUGACAAAUUGGCUCCAAACAUUUGUGGUGCCACAAAUCCCCCAUCCACAAUUGAUGAUACUGAAGAGCUGACCACUGAGAGCAAGUGCAUCCAUACAGCCGUCAGCCACCCAAAUCAGACCAGUCCAGAGCUCGGCCCUCUCACCAAGUGUCAAAAACCCUGCCUGCUGUCCACAACAGUAUCCUCCUUGGAUAAGUGUGUUCAUUGUGUGAGACCUGUAACUUCCUUCAAGUGGCUUGGCUAUCGAUGCACAGGUUAGAUAUUUAGUGAAUUAGUAUAGAGUGUAAUGUGUUGUGUUCUAACCACUUAAAUAGACCUGCAGUGUUAACAUUAUAUAGGUAUAAUAGCUCAAAA